rnacentral:pre_miRNA from 1 species
AGGAGGAACAACCCCAGUGGCGGCAGCCAGCUCUGGAGUCCUGGAUUCAGCUCCCGCAGUAACUACAGAGGUCUCUGUCUCCAGGGCCUGGAGGCUCUGGGGGCAG